GCAGAGCAUAGUGCUCGUACCUUUUGCAUCAUGUUUUAGCUAGAAAUAUUCAGGCAAAGAGAACUUUAGUCUGAACCCCCGAAACUAAGUGAGCUACUCCAAGACAGCCUAUUUUAGGGCACACCCGUCUCUGUGGCAAAAGAGUGGGAAGAGCUUUGAGUAGAGGUGAUAGACCUACCGAACUUAGUUAUAGCUGGUUACCUGAGAAAUGGAUAGAAGUUCAGCCUUUUGGCUUCUCUAGAAACCAAAAGAGUUAGUCAAAGGAGGUACAGCUCCUCUGAAUAAAGAAACAACUUUUAUAGAUGGAUAAAGAUCACAAACAACAAGGAUGAGUGUUCAGGUGGGCUUAAAACCAGCCAUCCAUAUAGAAAGCGUUACAGCUCCUACACAGGAUCCUGAUAAUAUAAUCUUAAUCCCCUACCCCCUAACAGGUUAUUCUAUGCCUCCAUAGAAGAGAUAAUGCUAAUAUGAGUAAUAAGAGACGACUCUCUCCACGCACAAGUGUACAUCGGCAUGGACCAUCCACCGAACCUUAACGGCCCCAAACAAAGAGGGUAUUAAAUCCACAGGAAAACUAUUUACCGUUAAACCUACACUGGUGUGCCACCUGGGAAAGACUAAAAAGAAAAGAAGGAACUCGGCAAACAAGCCCCGCCUGUUUACCAAAAACAUCGCCUCUUGAAAAAAUAAGAGGUCCCGCCUGCCCAGUGACGAUGAGUUCAACGGCCGCGGUAUUCUGACCGUGCAAAGGUAGCGCAAUCAAUUGUCUUUUAAAUGAAGACCUGUAUGAAUGGCAUAACGAAGGCUUAACUGUCUCCUUUUCUAAGUCAAUGAAAUUGAUCUUCCCGUGCAGAAGCGGGAAUAAUAACAUAAGACGAGAAGACCCUAUGGAGCUUUAGACAUAAGCAGACCUUGUUAAACACCCCUACUAAAGGACUAAACCAAAUUGACCCUGUCUAAAUGUCUUUGGUUGGGGCGACCGCGGGGAAAUAAAAAACCCCCAUGAGGACUGGAAACAUUUCCACAGCUAAGAGCUCCCGUUCAAGGAAACAGAAUAUCUGACCACAAGAUCCGGCAAUGCCGAACAACGGACCGAGUUACCCUAGGGAUAACAGCGCAAUCCCCUUUAAGAGCCCAUAUCGACAAGGGGGUUUACGACCUCGAUGUUGGAUCAGGACAUCCUAAUGGUGCAA
rnacentral:rRNA from 1 species